rnacentral:rRNA from 1 species
UACAUCGGAACGUGCCCAGUCUGGGGGAGUAACUAACUCGAAAGAGUAGCUAAUACCGCAUACGAUCUGAGGAUGAUANCGGGGGACCUUCGGGCCUCGCGCGAUUGGAGCGGCCGAUGGCAGAUUAGGUAGUUGGUGGGAUAAAAGCUUACCAAGCCGACGAUCUGUAGCUGGUCUGAGAGGACGACCAGCCACACUGGGACUGAGACACGGCCCAGACUCCUACGGGAGGCAGCAGAC